CAGUGAGCUGAGAUUGCACCAUUGCACUCCAGUCUGGCGAUGGAGUGAGACUCUGUCUCAAAAAAAAAAAAAAAAAAUUUGUGGGGCAUGGUGGUGCAUGCCUGUGGUCUCAGCUACCCAGGAGGCUGUGGCACGAGGAUCUCUUGAGCACAGGAUUUCAAGACUGCCGUGAGCCCUGAUCACGCCACUGCACUACAGGCUGGGUGACAGAGUGAGACCCUACCUUAAAAAAAAAAAAAAAAAAAAAAAAAGAGU
rnacentral:lncRNA from 1 species